UGUUGACUGUGGUGAAUGCUUUCC
rnacentral:piRNA from 1 species